GACGAACGCUGGCGGCGUGCCUAAUACAUGCAAGUCGAACGCACUCUCGUUUAGAUUGAAGGAGCUUGCUCCUGAUUGAUAAACAUUUGAGUGAGUGGCGGACGGGUGAGUAACACGUGGGUAACCUGCCCUAAAGUGGGGGAUAACAUUUGGAAACAGAUGCUAAUACCGCAUAAAACCUAACACCGCAUGGUGUAAGGGUUGAAAGAUGGUUUCGGCUAUCACUUUAGGAUGGACCCGCGGUGCAUUAGUUAGUUGGUGAGGUAAAGGCUCACCAAGACCGUGAUGCAUAGCCGACCUGAGAGGGUAAUCGGCCACACUGGGACUGAGACACGGCCCAGACUCCUACGGGAGCAGCAGUAGGGAAUCUUCCACAAUGGACGAAAGUCUGAUGGAGCAACGCCGCGUGAGUGAAGAAGGUUUCGGAUCGUAAAACUCUGUUGUUGGAGAAGAAUGUAUCUGAUAGUAACUGAUCAGGUAGUGACGGUAUCCAACCAGAAAGCCACGG
rnacentral:rRNA from 1 species